rnacentral:lncRNA from 1 species
GGUGACGUUAAAUAGCGUUUUUGCACUAGUGAGUGUGAAUACAUAACCACUAGUGGAUUUUGUCUCAUUUGAAUCAAAAAUCCAGUUAGCAUCAUCGUACCCUUCUAGUAUAAUGGAAAAUCCACUAUAUUCAAUGGCAUAUCCAUUGAACCUCUGAAGUAUCUCAUAAGUCUUGCAAGUGCAUCAAAAUGUUCUUGAA